rnacentral:rRNA from 1 species
AUUGAACGCUGGCGGCAUGCUUUACACAUGCAAGUCGAACGGUAACAGGCCUUCGGGUGCUGACGAGUGGCGAACGGGUGAGUAAUGCAUCGGAACGUGCCCAGAGGUGGGGGAUAACGCAGCGAAAGCUGUGCUAAUACCGCAUGUGAUCUGAGGAUGAAAGCGGGGGACCAGGCAGCAAUGUUUGGCCUCGCGCCUUUGGAGCGGCCGAUGUCAGAUUAGGUAGUUGGUGGGGUAAAGGCCUACCAAGCCGACGAUCUGUAGCUGGUCUGAGAGGACGACCAGCCACACUGGGACUGAGACACGGCCCAGACUCCUACGGGAGGCAGCAGUGGGGAAUGUUGGACAAUGGGCGCAAGCCUGAUCCAGCAAUGCCGCGUGCGGGAAGAAGGCCUUCGGGUUGUAAGCCGCUUUUGUACGGAACGAAAAGGCUCUGGCUAAUACCUGGGGCUGAUGACGGUACCGUAAGAAUAAGCACCGGCUAACUACGUG